rnacentral:rRNA from 1 species
UGGGGAAUAUUGCACAAUGGGCGAAAGCCUGAUGCAGCCAUGCCGCGUGUAUGAAGAAGGCCUUCGGGGUGUAAAGUACUUUCAGCGGGGAGGAAGGCGAUAAGGUUAAUAACCUUGUCGAUUGACGUUACCCGCAGAAGAAGCACCGGCUAACUCCGUGCCAGCAGCCGCGGUAAUACGGAGGGUGCAAGCGUUAAUCGGAAUUACUGGGCGUAAAGCGCACGCAGGCGGUCUGUCAAGUCGGAUGUGAAAUCCCCGGGCUCAACCUGGGAACUGCAUUCGAAACUGGCAGGCUAGAGUCUUGUAGAGGGGGGUAGAAUUCCAGGUGUAGCGGUGAAAUGCGUAGAGAUCUGGAGGAAUACCGGUGGCGAAGGCGGCCCCCUGGACAAAGACUGACGCUCAGGUGCGAAAGCGUGGGGAGCAAACA